rnacentral:misc_RNA from 1 species
AAGUCGUAACAAGGUUUCCGUAGGUGAACCUGCGGAAGGAUCAUUAACACGUAUCCAAACGUUAAACCCCCCCCCCGUGAACCUUCAUCCUGCUCUUGUAACCCGCGUAGUUCGCAAUCUCUUAUAAAUCAUAGCCUAUUAGGGGGCAUGGGGACCCUUUGGCAAAGCUCCUGCCCGAGUGUACGGUCUACAGGAAUCGUAGAAGCGCUAUCCUUGCACAAUCAACGACACUUUCCGACACUGACUGCUCGGGGAAACAUUGCCUAUAGAACUACCGCUCGAUUGUAACUGUUCCAAUGUUCACACGUAGCCUGGGGUCUCUGAAUCACUACAACUUUUCGACCCCACAGUUUAAUGUGAAGCUCAAUGUAAUACAUUGGGUAAAAAAACCGAACAACUGUUAACAAUGGAUAUCUUGGUUCUC